CCAACAUACUUUUGGACUUUGGUUUCUGAAUCAUACCAAUAGAGUUAUGGGAAUAUACCUCUGUAAGAUGUUCCUGAUUGGAAAUUUACCGUCUUUGACAGAGACAAUAGUGAUUAAGGGAAGAGUUUCACUGUAUCUUGUGGCGUUAGAGGAGAACUGGAUCCUCCUUGUAAUGUAGUGGGAUACAUUGAUGGACAAGUGUUGGGAAUCAAUCAUGUGUAUC